rnacentral:tRNA from 1 species
AGGUAUUUAGUCUAAAAAAGACCAUUGAUUUCGACUCAAUUAACUUUGGCUAAGCCCAAAAAUACUUC